UGCAGGACUUGGCCCGUGCUGCAUGAAUGUCUGCGUCUUUGCUCUCCUCGAGCCAGUUGCCUGAUGGCUUCAUGGGGUGCCCGUAGCUCUGGUAGCAUCUUUCCCUACCUACCUCUGUUGCACUAUUUAGGAGUUUUUUUUUAUUCUCCAUCCUUUUCCUUUUAUCAUUUCCUCAGAGAGCUGGAAGGUUGAUAUAAUCCCAGGAGCUGAAAAAUUGAAGAAAAUCUCUAGCGAGUCAGAAUCCAAGACAACUCCUCAUUUUGUUGAAGAAUUGUCCAGAAAUGAAGAAGACUUUCCUGUCAGAGGGAGAUUUCUCUGCCAUGGAUCUCAUCUGGGUUCUGGAAACUACUGUUCCCCUGAGAAAAUGAAGGGAAUAUGGACCUCUCCAGGAGUCAAAUUUCUGUCUUUUGCAUACCUGCACUGAUUGGGCUUCCAAGGUGGGAGAUUUCUUACCUUCUCCUUUGGAUAGUAACAGCAGAGCAUUUGUUUGGUCCACCUUGCCCAGGGAGGAGGCUACCAUCAGCACUAGUGGGCAUGCAGGUUCAGAGAGAUGGGCAGGAUCUGCAUGAGCCUUGAACCAAGACUGCUGAACACGUCAGUAGGUGUUUUGCUUGACUUUACACUCCAUGUUUGGGCAUGUUUGAAAGCAGGCAAGGCAGUUGACUGAAUGCAUUCAGAUCUCCAGCCCAGAGGAGAUGACAAUUUAAUUUUGAAUCACAGAAUCACAGAGUAACACAGAAUCACAGAACUGCAGCGGUUGGAAGGGACCUCAUGAAAACGAAUCCAGCUCCCCUGCUAAAGCAGGUACCCUACAGCACGUUGCAUAGGCAGAAAAGGUAAUUUAUGUUUCUUCUGAGCCUCAAGAGACAAUAUGGGCAUGCUGCGUUACCAUGCCCUAAAUGAAAUCUUAGAGUACCUAAGUAAAACUCACUCCACCCUUACCUGGAAGUUCCACUCAUGGAAACCACAUCCUUU
rnacentral:lncRNA from 1 species